GUCUACGGCCAUACCACCCUGAACGUGCCCGAUCUCGUCUGAUCUCGGAAGCUAAGCAGGGUCGGGCCUGGUUAGUACUUGCAUGGAAGUAAGCAUACUGAUAGUCGUGAUUC
rnacentral:rRNA from 1 species